rnacentral:lncRNA from 1 species
CACUAUUUCCGGGUAGCGAACUUCCGACGGAUUUUUUCACAAUGAACACACCCAAUAUACCCCAUUAGACCCUUGAACAUGUUUGGGAGUGUUUUGGAACAUUUCUCUAUUGCACGAGAAACAAUGCAAAUUAGGUAUGUUUUGGUACCUGAAUGCACUAUUUUAGGGUGCGAACUUCAGACCGAUUUUUUCGCAAUGAAAGCAUCCAAUCUAC